AAAUGAAAUGAAGACAGCUUUGGCUAUCUUGGCAGUAAUUCACCUUCUGAGUUUCCACCUGACUGCUGUCUUAAAUCUUAGAUUUGAAAGAACAGUAUAGAGCAUGACAUCCUUCCUAUGAGUAGAAUUGUACAAAGGAACAGAAAUAUGUCUGUAUGAAUUAUCAUACAGAACAAGGCCUUGGGAAUCACUUAGAGUUCCUGAUAUCAAUGCAGACCAACAAUUAAACCCUAGGUCCUCAGUAGCUUCUGGACAGUUAUAAUCAGGACAAUAACACCAAUGGAGAGGGUAAUGCUGCAGGUGAGGUGUAAAUAGAUGGGAGAGACAGCGUGUGAUGAGAGACAUAAAUGGAGAAGACAGAAAAACUGGAAGAAAACUGAAGAAGAGACAGGAAGAGGUUCAUGAACAGACAGCUUUCCUGAAACAAGCCUUUGUUCUCUUAUGGACAAUUUUAGUGGGAGCAGUCAUCUGACAACAAAUUUUUACCAUACUUGAAGUGCCACUCUGAAAGUAAUUCCAGAAGGAAAAGGGUACGGAACAGGUGUGUGCAACUCAGCUGAGGAUAGAUUACUGCAGACUUUGACUUAUCUUGGACUGCCUUCCAGUAACUACCCUGUUGAAACAAAUCCCAUCCAUUUAUUCCAAAUUUGCUCUUCAUUUAUGGAAAGAAUGGGUCUAAUUGACAUGAAGUUGAAAAUCAUCAAUAUAAUCCAGAAGUUUUAUUGUAAUUAAAGGAGAGAUGAAAAGCAAAAUAGGGCUCUAUUUUUCUCUUACAUAGUACAAAUAAUUCAGCAGAAACCAACAGAAUUAUGCUGCUACCUGCAAAUGCUACUGUGAUACCUCCCCAUCUUCCCUAUCUUUGCUAUGCAUAUAUGUUGAUAUGGAAUAUCCUGACAU
rnacentral:lncRNA from 1 species